UACGGGGGGGGCAAGCGUUGUUCGGAAUUACUGGGCGUAAAGGGCUCGUAGGCGGCCAACUAAGUCAGACGUGAAAUCCCCGAGCUCAACUCGGGAACUGCGUCCGAUACUGGCGGGCUUGAAUCCGGGAGAGGGAUGCGGAAUUCCAGGUGUAGCGGUGAAAUGCGCAGAUAUCAGGAAGAACACCCGUGGCUAAGGCGGUUCUCUAGUACGGUACUGACGCUGAGACGCGAAAGCGUGGGGAGCGAACAGG
rnacentral:rRNA from 1 species